rnacentral:pre_miRNA from 1 species
CUUAUACCCCUCCGUUCGAAAAUAUUUGUCAUCAAAAUGAAUAAAAAAGGAUGUAUCUGGAUGUAUUUUAGUUCUAGAUACAUCCUUUUUUGUCCAUUUUGAUGACAAGUGUUUUCGGACGGAGGGAGUAUAAA